rnacentral:rRNA from 1 species
AUUGAACGCUGGCGGCAGGCCUAACACAUGCAAGUCGAACGAGUGGCGGACGGGUGAGUAAUGUCUGGGAAACUACCCGAUGGAGGGGGAUAACUACUGGAAACGGUAGCUAAUACCGCAUACCAUCGGAUGUGCCCAGAUGGUAUUAGCUUGUAGGUGAGGUAACGGCUCACCUAGGCGACGAUCCCUAGCUGGUCUGGGCGGAUGACCAGCCACACUGGAAGUGAGACACGGGCCAGACUCCUACGCGAGGAAGCAGUGGGGAAUAUGGCACAAUGGGCGCAAGCCUGAUGCAGCCAUGCCGGGUGUAGGAAGAAGGCCUUCGGGUUGUAAAUUACUUUCAGCGGGGAGGCGUUACCCGCAGAAGAAGCACCGGCUAACUCCGUGCCAGCAGCCGCGGUAAUAC